rnacentral:rRNA from 1 species
UGCCAGACUCCUACGGGAGGCAGCAGUGGGGAAUAUUGCACAAUGGGGGAAACCCUGAUGCAGCGACGCCGCGUGAGUGAAGAAGUAUCUCGGUACGUAAAGCUCUAUCAGCAGGGAAGAAAAAAAGUCCUUCGGACUUUGGACGGUACCUGAUUAAGAAGCCCCGGCUAACUACGUGCCAGCAGCCGCGGUAAUACGUAGGGGGCAAGCGUUAUCCGGAUUUACUGGGUGUAAAGGGAGCGUAGACGGCAGCGCAAGUCUGGAGUGAAAGCCCGGGGCCCAACCCCGGGACUGCUCUUGGAACUGCGUGGCUGGAGUGCAGGAGGGGCAGGCGGAAUUCCUAGUGUAGCGGUGAAAUGCGUAGAUAUUAGGAGGAACACCAGUGGCGAAGGCGGCCUGCUGGACUGCAACUGACGUUGAGGCUCGAAGGCGUGGGGAGCAAACAGGAUUAGAUACCCCGGUAC